GGGGAUUGAGGCUGAUUUUGCAAGGGCAUAUCCAAGCAAUGUAUGUGCUACCAAGGAACUUCACAGAAAUGGACUCGGUUAUGCAAUUGUUUCAAAAGCAAAGAUCGUUGCUCAAGAAGGGGGUGUAAUUGAUUUGAAUGUCAUGUUGCUGUGGAUGAUGAACUGGCUAACAAUUCAUACACGAAAGUUGACUUCAUCUAUGAAAGUGACGAACCUGCAUUGCGAGCUAGAUUUCUUGGAUGGCCUCCGAGAGUCUUUUUGUGGAAAGUUCUGCCUUCCACCUAUGAAUUAUAACCUCCCAAUGGGAAGUUUUCGUAAAUUAGUCAAGAUCUAGAUUCUAUAGCAGGAGCCUGAUCGCUUCGAUCAGCUUCGAGAGAGAGCCAACCUCAGUCAGAGCAAGCUAAUGGAAUAAAAAAAAAUGUUCUGACAAGUAUCGUCCUGCAAAGAUAAACCGGCUUCACAAAGCAUUUUGUUCUGCAGAGUCAUGCGCUCCUUGAUAUGCAGCAACUUGCGAGAAGGUCUCCAAUGACCCCAAGCUCGGGGAAUUCACUCCAUUCGUGAAGUCCCAUUGUCUGAGGGGACGCUUCUUUCUGGCGCCGCCCCACUAUAAUGAGGUCAUACUCGUUUGCCAUAGGCCUUAUGACCAGGGCAGUGUUAGAGUCAAUGCCUCCCUGUCGUCGUUGCCUCCGAGAAAGAUCAUGGCCACUCGAAGCGGUGACUGAGCUGACGACACCAGCGAAUUGGAGCCUCCCAAGUAACCACGGUCAACUAAUAUACCCACUGAGCAAGGAGCCCUCUC